rnacentral:rRNA from 1 species
UACGUAGGCAGCGAGCGUUGUUCGGAAUUACUGGGCGUAAAGAGUGUGUAGGCGGUGUUCCAAGUUCGGUGUGAAAUCUCCCGGCUUAACUGGGAGGGUGCGCCGAAAACUGGAAUGCUCGAGCGUGGGAGAGGAAAGCGGAAUUCCUGGUGUAGCGGUGAAAUGCGUAGAUAUCAGGAGGAACACCAAUAGCGAAGGCAGCUCGCUGGGACGUUACUGACACUGAGGCGCGAAAGCGUGGGGAGCGAACAGG